UACGAAGGGUGCAAGCGUUACUCGGAAUUACUGGGCGUAAAGCGUGCGUAGGCGGUUUGUUAAGUCCGCUGUGAAAGCCCUGGGCUCAACCUGGGAAUUGCAGUGGAUACUGGCAAGCUAGAGUGCGGUAGAGGAUGGUGGAAUUCCCGGUGUAGCGGUGAAAUGCGUAGAUAUCUGGAGGAACACCGGUGGCGAAGGCGGCGUCCUGGACCAACACUGACACUGAUGAGCGAAAGCCAGGGGAGCAAACGGG
rnacentral:rRNA from 1 species